GAUGAACGCUGGCGGCGUGCUUAACACAUGCAAGUCGAGCGAUGAAGUUUCCUUCGGGAAACGGAUUAGCGGCGGACGGGUGAGUAACACGUGGGUAACCUGCCUCAUAGAGUGGAAUAGCCUUUCGAAAGGAAGAUUAAUACCGCAUAAUGUUUCGAGAUGGCAUCAUCAUGAAACCAAAGGAGCAAUCCGCUAUGAGAUGGACCCGCGGCGCAUUAGCUAGUUGGUGGGGUGAAGGCCUACCAAGGCGACGAUGCGUAGCCGACCUGAGAGGGUGAUCGGCCACAUUGGGACUGAGACACGGCCCAGACUCCUACGGGAGGCAGCAGUGGGGAAUAUUGCACAAUGGGGGGAACCCUGAUGCAGCAACGCCGCGUGAGUGAUGAAGGUUUUCGGAUCGUAAAGCUCUGUCUUUGGGGAAGAUAAUGACGGUACCCAAGGAGGAAGCCACGGCUAACUACGUGCCAGCAGCCGCGGUAAUACGUAGGUGGCAAGCGUUAUCCGGAUUUACUGGGCGUAAAGGGAGCGUAGGCGGACAGUUAAGUGGGAUGUGAAAUACCUGGGCUCAACCUGGGUGCUGCAUUCCAAACUGGUUGUCUAGAGUGCAGGAGAGGAGAGUGGAAUUCCUAGUGUAGCGGUGAAAUGCGUAGAGAUUAGGAAGAACACCAGUGGCGAAGGCGACUCUCUGGACUGUAACUGACGCUGAGGCUCGAAAGCGUGGGGAGCAAGCAGG
rnacentral:rRNA from 1 species